GCUGAAAAGGAAAGAGAGAGGAAAUCAGCUUUAUGAAAUAUGGGGAGGAAAUGUUAGAAUAACCAUUUAAGAUUAAUAGUGACAAGGAAUAGUGAAAAGGAAUGUUCAGUUUGGUUUUUUUAAGAUUUCAAGACCAGCAUUUCUGAUUAACUGUCCCUGAGGUGCUGCCUACAUCAGGCAGCAGCCAGAAGCACUGGCUUGGUACAAACCCUUCAUGUCGCCUGGCUACAGAGCAAAGGCCACCCUGGCUCAUGGAAGAACCCCACCAGGCAGACACAUUCUUGCUUCAGACACGGAAGGGCAACGGGCAAGAGGGGAAAGAGUUCUCGGUUAGCAGUGUGGACGGUAAGGAGGGUGACACACAGGCGAGCAGUGCGGCUGAGUGCGAAGCCUCUACCUCCCCUUCCUCCCCACCCCAUUCCUGUGGCUGGCUGAGCGGUGGUGGCUUUGACAAAAUUGGUGGUUAUGUUAAAAAGGCAACAGCUGAUUUGGCGGACUUAGCCCAUGGGCGCUGCAGACCCCUCUGGCUCUAGGCAGUGGGGAGCCACUUUACAGACCCCGAGCUAAUGCCUGUGGUCUCAUAUUCCAGAAGGUCUGCCGCCUAAAGGACAUUCAGGGAGCUGAGGCCCCUGUCUGAGGGUGAUGUGAUAGCAGCUGCUUGCGGGGAGGCUGGCACUCGCCCUGCUUGUCUGUGAGCUCACGCAGCUCUCUAUAGAAAGUAUCACCUGCACUGUGCAGAUGAGCGCCUGGAGGAUGUAUGACGUCGCCAUCUUUUAGGCAAAGGCCUAACCAAGAAGCCGUGCAAGGCCUACCUGCCCAUCGGUGAGAACACGAACAAGUUCUGGUAGGUCUGAAAAGGACACCGGUACUGAUGGCGGCAAAAGCAGAGGCCGCCUGGGAAUUUCCUGCAGGUGCUGGGUGAGGAUGGGUCUGGUCUGGGCACCUGGCCCUCACUGUGGGAGGCCUGAGGCCCUGGAUGCGUCCACAACAGUACAACUGCUGAGGAGGCGCUGAUGUGGCAAAGCCUGAAGCAGAGGGCACAAGGGGAUGCUCCUAGCUGCCUAGGCUGAGGGAAGCGGGUGCUGAAACUGCCUCCAGGCUGGAUGGGCCUGAAGCUGAGAAACCACAAGGCAACAGCCUGCCCAGGCUGAUCUGGAGCUGUGCAUUUCUCCGACAGCAGCAAACAACAUUUAACUUCUUUUGUGAAGGCUACUACUUCGAGGAACCAAGUCAGGAAAAGCUGACUAUUGGGUAAGUUUGGUUUCCAUUGAAUAGCACACCACCCGACAAGCUCAGACAUCCUGUUCUGGUUUGGAGCCAAGGCACACUCCUUGCAUUUGGUCCUUUUUAGGCCUCAUGAUGCCAAAACUGGCAAAACCCAUCCUCUUCCCUGUUACACGCUCUGCCAAACCGACCAACCUCCCUUUCUCAGAGACCUCAUGCAGUUAGGAUGGGACUUCUGUCCCCUUACACUCGGACCUUGCAAGUUGGCAGUACCCUGCCCCGCUUGAUGAUUCCCACCAACUCUCCCCCAAACUGGAAGCCUUUAUUUACAUCACAUCUUUUGGCUGGUCCCAGAUCUGGGCCCCCAGAGCCUUCACAGGAACACUCAGGGCCUCAUGGGGAGGGAGCUCCUGCUUAGGCCUCCUUCGCCCUGGUUCCGGACAAGGCUGGUUGCUAGCAGAGCCAUGCCCUAAAUAACUCUGCUUUAACUUACCCUGGAGAGAGAGAAGACAAGUCCCAGCUGCAAAGGAUAGGACCCAGAAGGUGAAAAGAGGUGGCCUACUUGAGACCAACCUAUUGGAUGCACGAACUGACUGGUUCAACUAUUUGCUUUCACUAGAUUUUUGCUUUUUAAUGAACCAGGUAGCAAGGUUCUUGGAUGAAUCCUUGCAGCUAGUAAAGACCAAAGAACCACAAGUUUUUGAGAGUCCUCAUCUUGGCAUUAGCAAAGGCAGCAUUCUCUCAGCCUGUAAGUUGGACCAAAGCAAAAUGAGCUUCUCUCUCCCCAGGCUCUCCCUGACAUCCGGCUGUGCCACUGACCAAGGCAGCGCAUGGAGCCUAUAGAUGUCACACCUCGCGUCAGCUAACCCAGCCCCCGUGUGCACAGGUACAGGAAAGAAAGGUGGAUACGUACCAGUUGGUAGAAGGACACCCUCGGACCCCCGUCGGCAGCAAUGAACCACCACGCGGCAGCACCCACAGUAGCAGCGCCAACGUAACCUGGUAACAGACACAGGCAGGGUUUGCAGCCCACAGCUUAUACUGCGGGCUCUGCCUCACAGGCCAAUCCCCCGCAGAGAUGAGACCUGGUUUGUCGAUGGCACUGGAGAGCUUUGCUGCCACUAGCAACUGCUCACUCACAUCAGCCCAAGCAGCUAGACGGUGGGUCUCUGCAAGGAGAGGGGUGUCUGGUACAGAAAAACCAGGCAACUUUUCUUCCAGAGUUUAUGAGAAAAAGGAAAUACUGCAACUGGCAGGGACCUCGACGACAGCCAUGCCUUCUCUAACUGGCAGCAGGUACACACAUACUCUAUGUAAGCCCUUGCUGCGUUGGCUCAGAUCACAGCACCCAGGACUUUUAGGGAAACUGAUGCUCCCAGGUGUACGCUUAUUUGCUCUAUCAAAGGCCUUGCAGAACCUUUACGUGGAAAUGCUGUCAGAGCAGUUAGUGCAGAACACAGGCAACAUGCCAAAAACCCAGAGCUGAUUCUGGGACCACCCUCCCUCCCAACCUAUCAGUUCUGAACUCAACAAGUUUACUGCAAAGCAACGGGGUAGUGGAGAACAAGGGACCGGACACCGUGAAGAUGAUGCCGAUGCAGCAGCACCCACCACCACGACACAGGUGCACCCCCUAACCCGGCAGCUAUGGGCAGGAAUGAGAGAGCUGGUGCAUGGGGACAAGGCAGCGCUACACACACCGAUGUAGCAACUCCCAGCAAACAGGGAAAGGUACACGGAGACAGGGUUCAGCACACAGGUGUUUACAGCACACCAACACUUAUGAAAAUAAAUACAUGAAAUAGA